rnacentral:rRNA from 1 species
UACGAAGGGGGCUAGCGUUGCUCGGAAUCACUGGGCGUAAAGCGCACGUAGGCGGACUCUUAAGUCGGUGGUGAAAGCCUGGGGCUCAACCCCAGAAUUGCCUUUAAGACUGCAUCGCUUGAAUCCGGGAGAGGUGAGUGGAAUUCCGAGUGUAGAGGUGAAAUUCGUAGAUAUUCGGAAGAACACCAGUGGCGAAGGCGGCUCACUGGACGACUGUUGACGCUGAGGUGCGAAAGCGUGGGGAGCAAACAGG